ACUGAAGAUCUCCAUCCAGGUAGGUAUUGUCCCCUCUGCCUACUAAAAUGAAAUUUAAACUAUAUCCCAGAUUGGUAUGUACCAAAAACAUCAAAGUGGUGGUUACUGGAUUAAGUUACUAGGUGCUUGAACCCAAAGGCAGAGGUUAAUUGACUCAAAUCGCUACCGAGGAGAACCUCCGCUGGUAAGUUUUUCAUCUUCG